AGCUCUGCAGUAUAAGUUACACGGGAUUGCAAAUCUCGAGAAGGAGAAUAGGCUUCUCCCGGGGCUU
rnacentral:tRNA from 2 species